UACGUAGGGUGCGAGCGUUAAUCGGAAUUACUGGGCGUAAAGCGUGCGUAGGCGGUUCGUUAAGUCAGCUGUGAAAGCCCCGGGCUCAACCUGGGAAUUGCAUUCGAGACUGAAUAGCUAGGGUACGGUAGAGGGAAGUGGAAUUCCGGUGUAGCGGUGAAAUGCGUAGAUAUCGGAAGGAACAUCAGUGGCGAAAGCGACUUCCUGGAC
rnacentral:rRNA from 1 species